AGUGAACGCUGGCGGUAGGCCUAACACGUGCAAGUCGAACGGCAGCACAGUAAGAACUUGCUCUUACGGGUGGCGAGUGGCGGACGGGUGAGGAAUACAUCGGAAUCUACUUUUUCGUGGGGGAUAACGUAGGGAAACUUACGCUAAUACCGCAUACGACCUACGGGUGAAAGCAGGGGAUCUUCGGACCUUGCGCGAUUGAAUGAGCCGAUGUCGGAUUAGCUAGUUGGCGGGGUAAAGGCCCACCAAGGCGACGAUCCGUAGCUGGUCUGAGAGGAUGAUCAGCCACACUGGAACUGAGACACGGUCCAGACUCCUACGGGAGGCAGCAGUGGGGAAUAUUGGACAAUGGGCGCAAGCCUGAUCCAGCCAUACCGCGUGGGUGAAGAAGGCCUUCGGGUUGUAAAGCCCUUUUGUUGGGAAAGAAAAGCAGCAGGUUAAUACCCCGCUGUUCUGACGGUACCCAAAGAAUAAGCACCGGCUAACUUCGUG
rnacentral:rRNA from 1 species